rnacentral:tRNA from 1 species
GAUUGUAGUUCAGUUAGGUCAGAACAGCAGAUGGACGCGCAGGUUCGACUCCUGCCGAGGUCA